AAAAUAAUUUUCGGUUAAGUUUGGAAUUAAAGGUUCUUGUUGGGCUUUGGUAUGGCCUAGUACAAGUUGAGUUAAUUCCGAAAUAUUUGAGCUAGGAAGUGGUAGUAAGGUUGGAUUUGUUUCGGUGAAGUUGGGCCUAGUGUGAUUAGUUGUAACUUGGGAUUGGUGAGUGAUCAGCUUAUAGGGGAUUAGUGUGAGAAAAUAUAAGUUGUUGAGUCACUAGAGAUUAGGGAGUCCGAAGGUGAACACCUGGCUUGAGACUUCCACGCGUUGAGAUUACCUGCAGACAACGGUUACCAUCUUACUGACACCGCUCUCCACCUAUAACUCUAGACUCUUCCGUCACUUGCAUGCAAACCAUCCUCAGAAACCACAGAUUACACCCAUUAAUCUCAUCUGCAUACACCCAAAACCAAAUCACCUUUCUUACCCACUUUUGUCAAGAAUGGAGAAACUAACCAUGGCAACGGGUUAGAAGCCACUGAAGUCCCCAUCUCCUUCUGUUGCUAGUGUAGAAGCUUGGGCUUCGGAAUUUAGACUGAGAUCAGUUCACUCCUAAGGUUUGGGAUUGGAAAAGAGUAGAGGAUUGGAGCUGGAGUUGAUCGAAAACUUUUGUCAGUUAAAAGGUGGAUUGUGCAAUAUAUAAAUCGAAGAAGAAGGAUUUUGGGUGAAGGCUCUUUGACUGGGUAUUGAUCGAAUUGAGGUUGGAUGUUGGAGUAGUGAUAGGUAGGGGGAGCUUGCUUCACAAAGGUGUUUCGGGCAGUUACCCGAGGAACUGAAGGUUCGUGACUCUCGAACUGCGUGAAAGAUAAGCAUCAGAAUCCAGGUAGGGGAUUCAGGACUCUCCUCGGUUAGUGAUUUUCUUAUAUUGUUAUUAAAUGAUGCAUGUUCGAUGGUAUGGUUUGGUUAUGUUCAAAUGCAAUGCAUACUAAUCAAACCAUGUGAGAAAUGUGAUGGCUUGAGAGCGAAGGGUGGCUCUGACUUCCUUGGGUUCGAUCCCCAAAACCUCCGGAGGGUUAGUUACACCGGUCGGACGGUGAGCGAUCGCAAUGACGACCCGAUCCGUGUGUGUAGCUAGGUAGCGGACGCUCUCGCUACGCUUACCUGGUGAUAAAUUAAAUUGAGGUAAGGUCGUGUAGUGGGUCUAUGGGACCGGCCAUCAGUGUGGAUGCAGGUACUGUGCACUGGUGACGGGACAAUAGCGGACGGAGCUGGGUGUGUGGAACAAGUUCGGUAAAUUUUGUCUUUUAGACCUUGUUCUAGAUUCUAUUUCUUGAACUUCGUAUUCCGAGACUUGUUGAUAGUUAGCCUUGUGUUAGUUUUGGUUGAGUUCUCAUUUCCUUGAAGUUCGUACCUCGUGUGUGAGAAUUCAUUUCAAGUUCUAGACGAAUGAAAUAAACUUUAGCAACUCAAGGAUUUUCACCUCAAAAAUAUUUGUAGCUUCCGCUGUGUUUAUACGAAAAGUUUUCAAACAAAAUGCCUAGCGGUUCUCUAGAAUGUAAAUCGAGCGUUCGGUUUAUGUUUUAGAGGCUCGCGGCACUGUGACGUGCUUAAGCUGGUGAGGUGCAGCUUGGGGCGUUACAGAAAGUGGUAUCAGAGCAAUGCUUCCGAUUUUUCGAUUUCAACGAAUAAAAACCUCUGAUACUCGAAAAAGUUUUGUCGGCUCGGGGAAAAUCUUCAAAUCCUUUUGAAAAGUCGACUCGAGGAGUGGUUGUUCAAAAACGUGUUUCUGAACCUUUGACGUGAAACUUUGUUAGAAUUUCUACCUAACGUUUGAAAAGGUUUGACUUCUGUUUUUAAGACCGAGUUUCGAAAAACAUUCGAGAAAGUUUUAAAGGUGUUUCCGAAAAGAGAUUUAGAAAAAGGGGUGCCAAAAGCGAAAGCGCUUUGAAAGGCGAUUUGGUAAAAAGGGUUAGCCUUCCCGUUACUGCUCAAAAGUUUUGGUUUUCGGUGUUUACUAUUUACGUGCUUAAACCCGUACCGCCUUUGAAAUGUGUUUUGUCGGAAAGACGCUUUUGACCGGAAAAGGGAAGUCUUAGCGGGAAACGUUGUUUAACUGAGGUUUUGAACAAAACCUUACACUGAUUUAAACAGUUUGUCAAAGUUCGUCUAGAAGUCUUGAUUUCCGUUUACGUGGGAGAUUUUAGGGAUUUCUUUACCAUGACAUUUCGGUUCCCUCCUUGGGUGUGAGAGUUUACUUGAAAGGACUGUUGCUAGUGUGUGUUCAUAUAAUUACAACUCUUCACACGGUUUAGGGCCCGACUGGCCACCGGAUCCCCCUAAUGUAUACCGAGGUUGAAAGUUGUUAAUUUAUGAAUACAACUUGCGACAAAUAAGUUACUCUAGAGUUAUUCUCUGAAACUUCGACUUGUGGUUAGUCGGAACUAUUGUUGUUUUUCCUUUUGGAUCUCUUAAUCCGAAAAUCGUUGUCCCUUCUUCGAAAGGUUGACUUAUGUUCCGACUUGUCUUUGUAAUUGAAAUUGUGGUUGCGUGAUUUUCUAUCCUUUUGAAUGUGGUUAUAUUGUUGGAUUCACUUACCGAUUUGGUAGUUUGCCAUCGCUUUGUUCAGUGAAUCUGGUUCGUUAAAAUUGUGCUGAUUGCUAUUGAAGUUGGACUUGCUAAUUGAUUCUUCUUUGGAUAUCUAGUCGAGUCUAGUUCACUUGAUUGCUUCCACAGACUCGAUUGUUGUGAUUUGUCUUAAAGUCUUUUCAAGUCCAACUGUUAUAUGUUUAUACAGUAUGUCGAAUUGGUUUAUGGAUUCAUGGAUUCACUUUCAAAUUGUGCACCUUCACGUGAAUCAUGUUCAUUGAACUAUUGUUGGAAGGACUCGAUGUUGCAUCUGUCUUGUAAUCUUUAUCGAGUCCAGUUAUUGGUCAUCCUUUUAGUUCUUUAAAUUUGAACGAAUACUGCCACCCAAAGCUCCUCCACAGUGCACAGACCGCGAGAAAGAUUUACGUGGACCCAGUAUGAGGUAAAAGUAAAAGGGUAAAGGUACGUGAACGACAAACUUUGAGUCCUCAUGAGAAAAGUUGAUGUUUGGACCUGAAAAUUGUCUUGUGAAUUUCUUUUUGUUGUCUAAGUGGUGUUGAUUGUUGCUCUCAUGUUAGACUUGAAAUGUCAUUUGACAAUCCUUGAAAAAUUUGAAUCAUUAUUCUAGGAGGAUCCUGUCGAGCGCAACUCGUUGACGCUUCUCGUGCCUCAGGGGUAUGAGUCAAGGAAAAGUGGAUCUUCAGCUUGAAAUUCCUCGUUGGGACAUGUCGACCUCGAAAUUAAGUAAGAGGGAUUUAAUUGUGCUUUAGUAAUCGCCAUUUGACUUUGCUUGUGGAAUUUUAGGAUUGUAAAAUCUGAAAGCAUGGAUCCGGCGAGUGGUACCAUAUAAGACGUUGCUUUAGGGUAGCCGAGGAAGCUACACGAUUAGAAAAUUUAUAGGUUGACUAAGGUCACCCUAUGAUAUACCUGGUAGCAUUUAUACCUCCUCGGGAAUGGUUUAGCAAGUUAAUGAGUAUUCAGCAUGGGCCAGAAGCGUAUCAGAAGGGAAGAAGGAAAAGUGGUGUGUGUCCACCGUGCGACCUCUUUGGCGACUUCUCGAAUUAUGUUUCUUCGACUCACUCGUAUGUGAGGCAGAAAUUCCGUGUCAAUAAUGGCUACAGUUGACUCGAGUUUUUGGACGUCGAGAUUGGAGUACGUACAAGGAAACAAGGCUACUUUGUUCCGUGGACCAAAUGGUUCGACUCUAGGUAUCGACAAAUUUGGUCGAUAUCAACGUGUGUUAACUAUUGUGUGGUUGAGUUCGUUCGGAGCUCCACCAUUUGCCGAAGUCAACAAUGGAAGGUCAUGAAGUAAGACGUCUUUCAAGGAAGGGCAGAUGACUCUCUGGGAUUCUGGCCGUCUACAACAAUACGUAUUACUGGUAAGAAUCCUAGAAGGACUGCGAGUAUUUCUUCCUUGCUAAUAGUUACGUUGACUUUUAUUCCCUUGUUUUGGUUGAUGUUGUUUUAUGAUUCUCCAACCUCAUUAAAGUUCUGGUUGGUUGAAAUCAUGAUAGUUCAACGUUAAAACUUAUCCAUUUGAGUUGUUUCCAAGGUUUAGAAAAAUCUUGUGCUUUGUGGGUUCAGGUUGCAAAAGUAUUUCGAAAUUGUUUUCAAUUCCAACAAACUUCACCCAAAGGUGAGACAUUUUAACUCUCAAGGUCAAUUCCGAAGUCGGAAUUACAAUUAUGUGGUUUUGUUGUUCUUUCUUCAGAGCUACUUUGAAGCCAAAUUUAGUCAACUUCCAAAGCUCCGAAAUUUUGAAAAUUUUAACAUAAUAGUGUUUGGCAUCUUGGCCAAUGAUCUGGAAAAUUUCAUUUCUUUUCGACUGGACGUGAAGUCGUAGCAAUUUUUCCAAAUCUGCUUUACGAGAAAGGAAAACUUGGAAACUCUUCUGCAAGUUGUUUUGGUAAAAAUUUUCACUUCCUUUCUCUUCCCUUCUUGGAAGUUUAUAGUUGUGGUAUUGGAAAUCAUUUGGAAUUUCCUAGAGUUCAAAUUCCUUUUCUUAGGAAAUUUGCAAAACGAAGUUUUGAGCAUUGUUUUCGGUUGCUCAUCCAUAUAAGUCAAGUUCAACGUAAACUGUAGUAAGGGAGGAUAUUCACUACACUACUAGACGAUUGGCAACCGAAGGACAAGAAGGAGAUGCGCCAAGAACGAAAGGCGGAAGCCUGCAUCGUUGCCAUUAGAAACGCGACUUGCGUGUACUUAGCUAUUUAGCUUAACGGGGUCUUGACGAUGUGUAGGCUAGAAAAGUGUCUUGACGUCAAGUACGUUACGAUUGUUGUUCAUGGUUGCUUAACCAUCAGUUUCCCUAAUUUUGGUGAAGCUUUCGAGAUCAAUGCUGUGCUAUAUGUGGAAGUGUGUGAGCCUUUAACAAUGAUCCCUGAAUUUCGUCAAAUCGUGACAAAAGUGCUUGUUGAAGCUCGUUAUCAAGACUGAUCGUCGGUUCGACAAACUAGUGUCCAAAGGUUCCUUGGCACGUAGUUGUUGCGGGAAAGGUAACAUGAUUCGAUGUUGUUAACACGAUGCAUAUCGUCCACGUGGUUGGUAGGUGUACUUCGCCUUCGAGUUCGUGGAGUGGAUGCAUUAGCCAAAACGGCAGUCCUAAUUGAAUACGUAACGAACUCAAGUACACUACGAGGUAAUUUGUAAAGUGUCGCCACGUGGAAAUCCGUGGAAUAACUUUUAGGAAUCGAUUGUCAGGUUCCGUGGUGCAUUCCUCGUAAAGCGUGAUUAGGGAAAACGGAUGCUCAGCCAGUUCUACAUAUGAAUGUCCUUUCGCGGAUAGUGGCUUCUUCCACGGUGAACUGUGAGUUAUAUGUUGGUGAAUGACCAAUAAACUCUUAACGGAGAGUGUAAUUCCAUUAGACGAUAAUGGUCGUCAAAGCUACGGAUCGCAGUGACAACGUCGACUUGUUCUUCAUAGUUGACGUGGGUCCCGCGUGAGAAACAUAAUUUUACCUACGGGUAGUUGUAUUCGACUACGGUACUUAAGUAUGUCUUUUGACAAAAUUGCAGUUCCCCGAAUGUUGCACUUGUAAUGAGCAGGAAUUAGAUGAAGACGUGAGUUGGCUAUGAGCUGCCAGCUGUGGCAGUAUUGUGUUGAGGUAACAAGGUUAGUAGUUGCCCAGUCUUAGUUGGUAUAAACACGAUUUGUUUUUGGAAAUGACGAGUAUGGUAUUGCUAUGAGGAGAGUAAUGAAAUUGCGAAUUACUCAGUCUAGUUGUUAUAAGAAAAGUCUUGUGGUUACAGAAGAAUGUAAUUAAUCGGAGCGAAGUGUAUCCUGUGGAUGAUAAUUGAGGAACACUUGGUUAAGAAAAAUGUUAGUUCCGAUGGUGAUAUAUAUGACUAGUAAGAGUCGAGUUGUACCACAGGAAGUCAUGAAUGAGAAUUGUUAUGGGUACUGGAGUCCGACAUGAAAAAGAAGUAUCCUCACCUAUUCGACCAAUCAGGUAAUUUCGAGGACGAAAUUAUUUUUUUAGGGGGGUGGAACUGUGAGCCCCGGUAAUUUUGUUUUGUUACUUUGAAUUUUCUCAGGCUUUGGUUACGAAUUUUAUUUAUGAGAAUUUUAAGUUCGAGCGAGUUCCGAUUAGGUAAAAUAAUUUUCGGUUAAGUUUGGAAUUAAAGGUUCUUGUUGGGCUUUGGUAUGGCCUAGUACAAGUUGAGUUAAUUCCGAAAUAUUUGAGCUAGGAAGUGGUAGUAAGGUUGGAUUUGUUUCGGUGAAGUUGGGCCUAGUGUGAUUAGUUGUAACUUGGGAUUGGUGAGUGAUCAGCUUAUAGGGGAUUAGUGUGAGAAAAUAUAAGUUGUUGAGUCACUAGAGAUUAGGGAGUCCGAAGGUGAACACCUGGCUUGAGACUUCCACGCGUUGAGAUUACCUGCAGACAACGGUUACCAUCUUACUGACACCGCUCUCCACCUAUAACUCUAGACUCUUCCGUCACUUGCAUGCAAACCAUCCUCAGAAACCACAGAUUACACCCAUUAAUCUCAUCUGCAUACACCCAAAACCAAAUCACCUUUCUUACCCACUUUUGUCAAGAAUGGAGAAACUAACCAUGGCAACGGGUUAGAAGCCACUGAAGUCCCCAUCUCCUUCUGUUGCUAGUGUAGAAGCUUGGGCUUCGGAAUUUAGACUGAGAUCAGUUCACUCCUAAGGUUUGGGAUUGGAAAAGAGUAGAGGAUUGGAGCUGGAGUUGAUCGAAAACUUUUGUCAGUUAAAAGGUGGAUUGUGCAAUAUAUAAAUCGAAGAAGAAGGAUUUUGGGUGAAGGCUCUUUGACUGGGUAUUGAUCGAAUUGAGGUUGGAUGUUGGAGUAGUGAUAGGUAGGGGGAGCUUGCUUCACAAAGGUGUUUCGGGCAGUUACCCGAGGAACUGAAGGUUCGUGACUCUCGAACUGCGUGAAAGAUAAGCAUCAGAAUCCAGGUAGGGGAUUCAGGACUCUCCUCGGUUAGUGAUUUUCUUAUAUUGUUAUUAAAUGAUGCAUGUUCGAUGGUAUGGUUUGGUUAUGUUCAAAUGCAAUGCAUACUAAUCAAACCAUGUGAGAAAUGUGAUGGCUUGAGAGCGAAGGGUGGCUCUGACUUCCUUGGGUUCGAUCCCCAAAACCUCCGGAGGGUUAGUUACACCGGUCGGACGGUGAGCGAUCGCAAUGACGACCCGAUCCGUGUGUGUAGCUAGGUAGCGGACGCUCUCGCUACGCUUACCUGGUGAUAAAUUAAAUUGAGGUAAGGUCGUGUAGUGGGUCUAUGGGACCGGCCAUCAGGUAAUAUUUGGAUUUGGCGCCAUAUUUAUUAAAGCAUCAUGCAUCAGUUUUUAAGUUAUAAAAUCUUAUAAAGUUUGUCGUUCCUUGGAAUAUUUGGUUUAAGCAUGUUUUCAUACUGGGAUCCCAAAGAUAUAUUUGCUGGUUUCAAACCUAGUCGUGGUAGAGUUCCUGUAGAGCAGCGAGGACGAAAGCUCACCCCUACAACAGUGUGGAUGCAGGUACUGUGCACUGGUGACGGGACAAUAGCGGACGGAGCUGGGUGUGUGGAACAAGUUCGGUAAAUUUUGUCUUUUAGACCUUGUUCUAGAUUCUAUUUCUUGAACUUCGUAUUCCGAGACUUGUUGAUAGUUAGCCUUGUGUUAGUUUUGGUUGAGUUCUCAUUUCCUUGAAGUUCGUACCUCGUGUGUGAGAAUUCAUUUCAAGUUCUAGACGAAUGAAAUAAACUUUAGCAACUCAAGGAUUUUCACCUCAAAAAUAUUUGUAGCUUCCGCUGUGUUUAUACGAAAAGUUUUCAAACAAAAUGCCUAGCGGUUCUCUAGAAUGUAAAUCGAGCGUUCGGUUUAUGUUUUAGAGGCUCGCGGCACUGUGACGUGCUUAAGCUGGUGAGGUGCAGCUUGGGGCGUUACAA